AAGAGGGUUGGGGAGUUUAUUCACAAGAAUUCCAAUUCUUUUGGGAAUCUGACCCCAACGCAGUGCCCACCGAGUGGAGCCCUUGCGGAAUCGCACAAGCAUAGCGCUGGUUUCGGGUGUAAGAAGAUGCCGUCACUGAGCUUGACCCCACCAUCAAGAGGCCUCGGCAAUCUGGCGCUUCUAAACGCGUCCUCAUGGCCGCCACUCAAGAUUAACCUUCGAGUCUUGGUUUUUUCUAUAUAAUCCCAUUCGUUCUCGAAUCCCCGUCCUCAUCUUGAUUUCAAUUCAAAGCGGAUAAACUUGCGGCUCUGCGUGCGGAAAUGGAGCUCACUCUUGACUUGAGAGUUGAUAACCAACUCUGUUCAUCUAUUGCGGUAUGGCGCCUUCAGAUCCUUCUUAUUUUUCAAAUAUUUGUUUGUAGUUAAGUAAAGAUAUACUUUUAACAUGGUGAAGCGACUAUCCUCAUCUUGGGAGAAUUUUAUAAUGUACUUGCCAGUUAGUUAUCACUUACAUUUGAAGGACUUUCCGUAGAUAAUUUAAUGCGUCUGGUGACAGUAAAACUGUAAUUUCCAAGGAUUCAACACGGAUACACCAUGGUGUAAUUCGAUAUAGAAAAUAUAAUGCUGCCAUAUAUUCAUGGAGUGGUUAGAGAGACAAAUUAACUUUUCUCA